UACGUAGGAGGCAAGCGUUAUCCGGAAUUAUUGGGCGUAAAGAGUGCGUAGGUGGUUUUAUAAGCGCAGAGGUGAAAGGCUACAGCUUAACUGUGGUAAGCCAUGCGAACUGUGAAACUUGAGUGCAGGAGAGGAGAGCGGAAUUCCUAGUGUAGCGGUGAAAUGCGUAGAUAUUAGGAGGAACACCAGUGGCGAAGGCGGCUCUCUGGACUGUAACUGACACUGAGGCACGAAAGCGUGGGGAGCGAACAGG
rnacentral:rRNA from 1 species